GACGAACGCUGGCGGCGUGCCUAACACAUGCAAGUCGAACGGGGUUAAUUGCUUCGGCAGUUAACUUAGUGGCGAACGGGUGAGUAACGCGUGAGGAACCUGCCUUUCAGUGGGGGACAACAGUUGGAAACGACUGCUAAUACCGCAUAACAUAUUCGGACCGCAUGAUCUGAAUAUCAAAGCUUUAUGUGCUGAAAGAUGGCCCCGCGUCUGAUUAGCUAGUUGGUGGGGUAACGGCCCACCAAGGCGACGAUCAGUAGCCGGUCUGAGAGGAUGAACGGCCACAUUGGGACUGAGAUACGGCCCAG
rnacentral:rRNA from 1 species